rnacentral:rRNA from 1 species
CUGAUUAUAUUAAAGAGCCGCAGUAUUCUGACUGUGCGAAGGUAGCAUAAUAAAUUGUCUUUUAAAUGGAGGCUUGAAUGAAAGGUUGGACAAAGUAUCAUCUGUUUCUUAAAUAUUUAUUGAAUUUGACUUUCAAGUGAAAAGGCUUGAAUAAAUUAAAAAGACGAUAAGACCCUAUAAAUCUUUACAAUAAACAUGUUCUAUAUUUUAAUUUAUAAGUAUAUAAAAUAUUAAAUUUGUAUUUGUUUCGCUGGGGCGGCGUGGAUAUAUUAAUAAACUGUCUAUGUGUUAAAUCCAAUAAUUAUUGAUUAGUGAGAUUGAUCCUUAAAUAGAUUAAAAGAUUAAGAUACUUUAGGGAUAACAGCGUUAUUUUUUUUGAGAGUUCUUAUCGAAUAAAAAGUUUGCGACCUCGAUGUUGAAUUAAAGUAUCUUUAUGGUGCAGCCGCUAUAAGAGAGAGUCUGUUCGACUUUUAAUACUUUACAUGAUCUGA